rnacentral:rRNA from 1 species
CAGUCGCCGCGGUAAUACCGAGGGUGCGAGCGUUAAUCGGAUUUACUGGGCGUAAAGCGUGCGUAGGCGGCUUUUUAAGUCGGAUGUGAAAUCCCUGAGCUUAACUUAGGAAUUGCAUUCGAUACUGGGAAGCUAGAGUAUGGGAGAGGAUGGUAGAAUUCCAGGUGUAGCGGUGAAAUGCGUAGAGAUCUGGAGGAAUACCGAUGGCGAAGGCAGCCAUUUGGCCUAAUACUGACGCUGAGGUACGAAAGCAUGGGGAGCAAACAGGAUUAGAUACCCCCGUAGUCCCUGUCUCUUAUAC